rnacentral:rRNA from 1 species
AGUGAACGCUGGCGGUAGGCCUAACACAUGCAAGUCGAACGGCAGCACAGUAAGAGCUUGCUCUUACGGGUGGCGGGUGGCGGACGGGUGAGGAAUACAUCGGAAUCUACUUUUUCGUGGGGGAUAACGUAGGGAAACUUACGCUAAUACCGCAUACGACCUACGGGUGAAAGCAGGGGAUCUUCGGACCUUGCGCGAUUGAAUGAGCCGAUGUCGGAUUAGCUAGUUGGCGGGGUAAAGGCCCACCAAGGCGACGAUCCGUAGCUGGUCUGAGAGGAUGAUCAGCCACACUGGAACUGAGACACGGUCCAGACUCCUACGGGAGGCAGCAGUGGGGAAUAUUGGACAAUGGGCGCAAGCCUGAUCCAGCCAUACCGCGUGGGUGAAGAAGGCCUUCGGGUUGUAAAGCCCAUUUGUUGGGAAAGAAAAGCAGCAGGUUAAUACCCCGCUGUUCCGACGGUACCCAAAGAAUAAGCACCGGCUAACUUCGUG